GAUGAACGCUGGCGGCGUGCCUAAUACAUGCAAGUCGAGCGAACAGAUGAGGAGCUUGCUCCUCUGACGUUGGCGGCGGACGGGUGAGUAACACGUGGAUAACCUACCUAUAAGACUGGGAUAACUUCGGGAAACCGGAGCUAAUACCGGAUAAUAUAUUGAACCGCAUGGUUCAAUAGUGAAAGACGGUUCUGCUGUCACUUAUAGAUGGAUCCGCGCCGCAUUAGCUAGUUGGUAAGGUAACGGCUUACCAAGGCAACGAUGCGUAGCCGACCUGAGAGGGUGAUCGGCCACACUGGAACUGAGACACGGUCCAGACUCCUACGGGAGGCAGCAGUAGGGAAUCUUCCGCAAUGGGCGAAAGCCUGACGGAGCAACGCCGCGUGAGUGAUGAAGGUCUUCGGAUCGUAAAACUCUGUUAUUAGGGAAGAACAAAUGUGUAAGUAACUAUGCACGUCUUGACGGUACCUAAUCAGAAAGCCACGGCUAACUACGUG
rnacentral:rRNA from 1 species